rnacentral:rRNA from 1 species
UACUCCUACGGGAGGCAGCAGUGAGGAAUAUUGGACAAUGGUCGGAAGACUGAUCCAGCCAUGCCGCGUGCAGGAAGACGGCCUUAUGGGUUGUAAACUGCUUUUGCAGGGGAAGAAUAAGGACUACGUGUAGUUUGAUGACGGUACUCUGCGAAUAAGCAUCGGCUAACUCCGUGCCAGCAGCCGCGGUAAUACGGAGGAUGCGAGCGUUAUCCGGAAUCAUUGGGUUUAAAGGGUCCGUAGGCGGGCUAAUAAGUCAGAGGUGAAAGCGCUCAGCUCAACUGAGCAACUGCCUUUGAAACUGUUAGUCUUGAAUGGUUGUGAAGUAGUUGGAAUGUGUAGUGUAGCGGUGAAAUGCUUAGAUAUUACACAGAACACCGAUAGCGAAGGCAUAUUACUAACAAUUAAUUGACGCUGAUGGACGAAAGCGUGGGGAGCGAACAGGAUUAGAUACCCUGGUAGUCCACGCUGUAAACGAUGGAUACUAGCUGUUUGGUUGUUAAGACUGAGUGGCUAAGCGAAAGUGAUAAGUAUCCCACCUGGGGAGUACGCACGCAAGUGUGAAACUCAAAGGAAUUGACGG